AACCCUAGCCACUUCUCCUUCCACCUCUCCUCCCGCCGCCAUCCGUAUCUCCUGCACUUGGUAAGGAACCCUAGCCCCUAAUUGCUUGAUUGAAUCUCUCGUUCUAUUCUGCGGGAUGGUGGCGCCGUCUCCAGCACUCGAAUCCGAUCGUUCCGUUCUCCCCAAUGGUUCCAAUUCGCUGUGGGCAGCAGAUUUGAUUGCUUGCUUGCUUGGUGGCGGAGCGCGAGUAGCAGUUCAUGCAGCAAAAGAAGUUAAUUGCAAGAACAGUCCUAUAGAUAGAGUAGCGAGUCCAUUCAGAAUUUUCACUAGCUUAGUUAUUCUGUAAACAUCUGUUCGAUCAUUUAUACCUGGAUUCACUUUAAAUAUUCUGCUUGAUCUUGACUGUUACAAGUCUAGUUGCAUGCAGGUGAAUCCUAAUUUAAAUCUGAAGGUGAAUCAAAAUUUAAAUCUGAAGGUGAAUCCUCAAUCGUGUUCUAUAGUGAUAAUUUUACUCUACAAGCCGCUUCUUAAUCAACAGACCAUUUUUUUGCACUAUAGAAACUAGGUGAUAAUAUUUUUAUUCAUUUCAUUGAUCGGUGGCUAGAUAAAUUCAGAUCGAGCUCCUCGCCACCAUGUAGGGAAACAGCAGCUUACCAUGUAGGGAAACAGUUACAUAUCCUAUAAUAACCUGCAAGAUGAUCUUAUGAACGACUUGCAGAUAAUCAUGCAUCAGCUGUGCUCAUAUUAUUCUGCCACCAUUUUGUCAUUUUGGUUUCAUGUGGCAUAAUCAAUUAAUUUAUGGAGAAAAUGCAGAGUCUGACAGUCUACUCAGUUGCAGCAAACAGAAUCUGGAGAGCAUAUUAUGUCUGGAGGAGGCCUUAAAUUGAAGGACUUCCAAAUUUAAGCUGGGUGGCAAACGGUUUUUCUUCAUAUUCCCCAUCAAAGGAUCAGAAAAAAGGGUCUUGUAAGUGUUGAGGUCAAGAAGAAAAAGGGACAGUGAACAGAUGAGUGGUUUGCACAAUGAAAAGGAGCCAUCAUUGCAGUAUGGCAUGAAGGUACUAGCUGUUGAUAUACCAAUGGAAUCAGGGCCUGACCAACGGCUAUUCCUUGUCGGUGACGAACAAGAAUACAAGGUGAGUGGAGCCUUGAUAUCAAGCCUAUCAGAGGAUAGUAUGAGGUGUUGGCGUGGCUAUGAGGAGGACUCGAGUUCUUUGCUGCUCUCAGUGUGCCCGUCGCUGUGAAUGACAAGGCCUCCAAGAUCCCAUUUACAAAAAGGCAUGGCCCUGCUUUUGUGUCACAUCAGUCCAAGAUCUCUGAUGGAUAAUUUCAGUAGUCGAGGUAUAGGAAUACAAAGAGUUGGCAGAGUGUUCCCAUUAUGCAGUUCCAAUUCAAGUCAUGCUUAGACAGACUGAUCGGCUGUUGCUGCUGGCUAGGUUUGUUAACAAAGAUAUUGUUCACAAAGAAGAGUGUGUUCUGCCUAGUGGAAUCGAUGAUCUUGCAGCGCUACCAUUCUUUCUGUAGAAAAUAUGAUCAAAUGUGUUUAUUAGCUGCUCCGUCGACUACUCAGGUCGAGCCCGCUUCUUCCGACGACUCUUCAGACGACGACGACCCCGAUUGCUUCAUCACCGCACCCAGGACGGAUGCCCCGCCUUCUCCAGCCUAUCUAGGACUAGAUUUUUAGCUCUAGCCUUCCCUUUUGGUGCUUUGUUGCCAAAGAGGGAGAUAGAUAGGGGGAGCAGGUUGGUCUGUGGCGUGACUUGGACUCUUCAUGGUUUUUGUUGUAUAUCGGUUGGAUCUUGUGUUUCCUCUUGUGUUGACAUGUCCCUACAAGUGGCUUUCCUUUCAAUAAUGCAUGCUUGUUCAGUUCGUUGUUCA